rnacentral:rRNA from 1 species
GACGAACGCUGGCGGCGUGCCUAAUACAUGCAAGUAGAACGCUGAAGGAGGAGCUUGCUCUUCUGGAUGAGUUGCGAACGGGUGAGUAACGCGUAGGUAACCUGCCUGGUAGCGGGGGAUAACUAUUGGAAACGAUAGCUAAUACCGCAUAACAGUAGAUGUUGCAUGACAUUUACUUAAAAGGUGCAAUUGCAUCACUACCAGAUGGACCUGCGUUGUAUUAGCUAGUUGGUGGGGUAACGGCUCACCAAGGCGACGAUACAUAGCCGACCUGAGAGGGUGAUCGGCCACACUGGGACUGAGACACGGCCCAGACUACUACGGGAGGCAGCAGUAGGGAAUCUUCGGCAAUGGACGGAAGUCUGACCGAGCAACGCCGCGUGAGUGAAGAAGGUUUUCGGAUCGUAAAGCUCUGUUGUAAGAGAAGAACGAGUGUGAGAGUGGAAAGUUCACACUGUGACGGUAUCUGACCAGAAAGGGACGGCUAACUACGUG